AUGCACGCUGGCGGCGUGCCUAAUACAUGCCAGUCGAGCGAACGGACGAGAAGCUUGCUUUUCUGAUGUUAGCGGCGGACGGGUGAGUAACACGUGGAUAACCUACCUAUAAGACUGGGAUAACUUCGGGAAACCGGAGCUAAUAUCGGAUAAUAUUUUGAACCGCAUGGUUCAAAAGUGAAAGACGGUCUUGCUGUCACUUAUAGAUGGAUCCGCGCUGCAUUAGCUAGUUGGUAAGGUAACGGCUUACCAAGGCAACGAUGCAUAGCCGACCUGAGAGGGUGAUCGGCCACACUGGAACUGAGACACGGUCCAGACUCCUACGGGAGGCAGCAGUAGGGAAUCUUCCGCAAUGGGCGAAAGCCUGACGGAGCAACGCCGCGUGAGUGAUGAAGGUCUUCGGAUCGUAAAACUCUGUUAUUAGGGAAGAACAUAUGUGUAAGUAACUGUGCACAUCUUGACGGUACCUAAUCAGAAAGCCACGGCUAACUACGUG
rnacentral:rRNA from 1 species